GCCCAGAUGAGCACCGGUGGUCCGGUGGGCGGGCUUCAAACCCGUGGCUGGCGAGAGGCAGAGUGGUUCGAUUCCACCUUCUGGGCG
rnacentral:tRNA from 1 species